rnacentral:lncRNA from 1 species
ACUUCUGUACCAAUUUGUUUAGCCAUUGGUCAGUGGACACUUAGGUUAUUUCUACAUCUUGGCUUCUGAGACUAGAUGGAAGCCUUUUGCUUCAUCAGGUGGCCUGAACAUUCAACCCACUUGGGCCUCCACCCUGGCUGAGCCUCUGCCCCAGGGUCUGGUUUGCUGGGAAGGAAAGUUCUUCAAGCAUCCUAAGACUCAGCCUGAAGACUUCUGUACUUCCAGUCACUCAUUUUCCAGUCUCUUGGGGAGCAAAGGCCAGAUGGGUAGUGUAGUGAUCACCCUCGGGCAGAGUCCUCCUGUGUUGGUAGGUGAUAGCUAUGGUACUCGCAGUGCUGAUAAUGGCAUUGUGACAUCAUGCAGCUCUUGACAGAGUAAACAGAAACGAGAUUAGAGAGAUGGGGCAAUACUGUCUGUGCUGACUUUUAGACUUUAUAUAGUCAUUCCUCACGGACACUUGAUAUAAGACUUUCUUCUAUACUUCUCUGCUGUUUCUUCCCAAAUUACCAUGACAGGCCCGAGUCUAACCCACUGUCUGAAUCUGCCCCCCUCAACACAAAGGGACCAGUUAGCUCCGACUUUUAACUGGGGAUGGACAGCAGAACAGUCUUGUCAGAUAUUCUAUGCUAAGGGCUAGCCUCAUAGCUAGGAAGCAGUUAAGCAAAUAUGGACUAGUGGGGGCAUGAAUUAUGGUCACUUGUGCCUAUAAUCCUAGAGUUUAAGCAGAGGGGUGACGGCAAGUUUCUUAAGUAGCUAGCCUGGACAAACUGUGGUGCCUAGAAAGGGUUUGUCUCGGAGAAAGAGAGAGACAUUUACUAGACAUGUCUAACCUGUGGUCCAUGGAGUACAUACAGGAUAGAUAUGAAUGCAGCCCAACACAUUUGUAGAUGAAGCAUUGUGUUCCAGUGGGGAAUAAUGUAUGGAGUGUGGAAUAACUAUGCAAUUGAGUAUCACC